rnacentral:rRNA from 1 species
UACGGGAGGCAGCAGUGGGGAAUAUUGCACAAUGGGCGCAAGCCUGAUGCAGCCAUGCCGCGUGUAUGAAAAAGGCCUUCGGGUUGUAAAGUACUUUCAGUCGUGAGGAAGGUGUUAAGGUUAAUAACCUUAGCAAUUGACGUUAGCGACAGAAGAAGCACCGGCUAACUCCGUGCCAGCAGCCGCGGUAAUACGGAGGGUGCGAGCGUUAAUCGGAAUUACUGGGCGUAAAGGGCACGCAGGCGGUUAAUUAAGUUGGAUGUGAAAUCCCCGGGCUUAACCUGGGAAUGGCAUUCAAGACUGGUUAGCUAGAGUCUUGUAGAGGGGGUAGAAUUCCAUGUGUAGCGGUGAAAUGCGUAGAGAUGUGGAGGAAUACCGGUGGCGAAGGCGGCCCCUGGACAAAGCUGACGUCAUGUGCGAAAGCGUGGGGAGCAAACAGGGAUUAGAUACCCGU